UAGGCCAUAAAGACAUAGGAACUCUCUAUAUAAUCUUCGGUGCUUGAGCCGUAAUAGUAGGAACAGGACUAAGCAUCCUAAUUCGAGCAGAACUAGGUCAACCUGGUUCCCUAUUAGGAGACGAACAACUUUACAAUGUAAUUGUUACUGCCCACGCAUUUGUAAUAAUUUUCUUUAUAGUAAUACCCAUUAUAAUCGGUGGGUUCGGAAACUGACUAGUCCCCCUAAUAAUCGGCGCACCCGACAUGGCUUUUCCAUGAAUAAAUAAUAUAAGCUUCUGACUCUUACCACCUUCAUUCCUUCUCCUAUUAGCAUCUUCCAUAAUUGAAUCCGGAGCCGGAACAGGAUGAACUGUAUACCCACCUUUAGCAGGAAAUCUAGCACAUGCUGGAGCUUCUGUCGACCUGACAAUUUUCUCUCUUCACUUAGCAGGAGUAUCAUCUAUCCUCGGAGCUAUUAACUUCAUCACUACUAUUAUUAAUAUAAAACCACCCGCAAUAUCACAAUAUCAGACACCCCUAUUUGUCUGAUCUGUCCUUAUUACAGCUGUCCUUCUUCUACUAUCCCUUCCAGUAUUAGCUGCAGGAAUUACUAUGCUUCUAACAGAUCGUAAUCUUAACACAACUUUCUUCGACCCUGCAGGAGGCGGAGACCCAGUACUUUACCAACACCUAUUUUGAUUUUUCGGCCAUCCAGAAGUCUACAUUCUCAUUCUUCCCGGAUUCGGAAUAAUCUCACAUAUCGUUACAUAUUAUUCAGGAAAAAAAGAACCCUUCGGAUAUAUAGGCAUAGUGUGAGCCAUAAUAUCUAUUGGAUUCCUAGGAUUCAUUGUAUGAGCACACCAUAUAUUUACAGUAGGAAUAGACGUAGAUACUCGAGCCUACUUUACAUCUGCUACAAUAAUUAUUGCUAUCCCAACAGGAGUGAAAGUAUUCAGCUGACUAGCUACUCUCCACGGAGGAAAUAUUAAAUGAUCGCCAGCCAUAUUAUGAGCACUAGGAUUCAUUUUCCUAUUCACAGUAGGUGGACUAACCGGAAUUGUUCUAUCAAACUCAUCCCUAGACAUCGUACUUCACGAUACAUACUACGUAGUAGCCCAUUUCCACUACGUUCUUUCUAUAGGAGCUGUAUUUGCCAUUAUAGGAGGCUUCGUUCACUGAUUCCCUCUAUUUACCGGCUAUACACUAAGUGACAUAUGAGCUAAAACACACUUCACCAUUAUAUUUAUUGGUGUAAAUAUGACCUUCUUCCCUCAACAUUUCCUAGGACUAGCAGGUAUACCACGACGAUACUCCGACUAUCCAGACGCCUACACUACAUGAAACACAAUUUCAUCUAUAGGUUCAUUUAUUUCCCUAACAGCCGUAAUCCUAAUAAUUUUCAUAAUCUGAGAAGCAUUCGCAUCAAAACGUGAAGUAACAACAGUGCAAAUAACAUCAACAAACCUUGAAUGAAUCCAUGGAUGUCCACCACCAUUCCACACCUUCGAAGAACCAGCCUAUGUAAAACCGGCCAACUAAGAAAGGAAGGAUUCGAACCCCCUAAAACUGGUUUCAAGCCAGUCCCAUAUCCAAUAUGUCUUUCUCAAAAU